GCGGGAGGCGCCGUUGCCUGCGCCGGGAGCGGCCCGGCGCCGCCUCGGGGGGAGACGAGGCGCCGCUUCCAGCUGGCGGAGCUUAAAAGGGGCCUGGCGACGGGGGAGCCGCUGCUGCAGCCCGCGGGAGGAGCCGGCGACUGGGGCGCCUGCGGCUUCACGGGCGUUUAGAUGCAGGCUCUUUGCAGGUUUUUUUUUUUUUUGUAGAUCUACUUACCAACAACUACUGAAGAUGAAUGAAUUUAAAUACAAGUACAAUCAGCUAAGCUACACCUCCCUGAGGAAAUGAUGACAUCCCAGUGGUGUGCUGCUGUCUUGGAGUGUUUUGAAGCCCAGGUUGCUGGCCUGGUGGAAACGUUUCUGGUGGAGGUAGACAGUGCAAACUCUAUCAGUUCACAAGCAGUAUCAAAGAUAAGCAAUGGACCCAGGUCUACAAGCACCUGCGCAACCAUGGUUACGAUUCCAAGCUGCAUCCAUGUACUGAAUGUGAGAUGUUUCUUACAAAUUGGCAGAGGCUAUAUGUCUGCAGGAACUGUUCUUCUUGCUGGUAAAUAAAUAGGGCGACCGUUUUCCUUGAGAUUAUCUUGAAUCUGAUUAUCUUCAUCUGAAAACAGAAGAGAAAUGCAUUCAUGACAUCUGCCUGUAUCUGUUACACAUCUUAUAUUUUUUUAUUUAAGUGCUUACUGAAUAUUUAAUGUUAUAUAAAGCCACAUGGCAUUUCUUGCACUAUUCUGGAUGCUCUGCUUUGUUACUGAGGUUGCCUUUUAUAUAAAAGAUCCUGUUCUCACUUGCUCUUGUCUUGCCAYUUUUUUUUAAUUGUUUCAGUUGUAUUGGCUGAAAUUUUUCAUGUUGGGUCUUUGCUUCCAAUUGAUAGUUUUAUUUCAAAAAGAGAUCAACCAAAGUGGUUCACCCAAUUUUCUAGAAUGCAUAUCCUCAUUGUGAUGUUUUUAAGUGGAAACAAUAAGGAGAGUGGGGAUACCUUUCCUUUAAAAAGGCCCUAAUGAUGCAUGGUUUGCAGCAAGACUUAAGCAUUUUUCAGAUGGUGCCUUUCGUGUGCAGAAGGGCGCACUCCUGAUGCAAAAGUGUACUGAG
rnacentral:lncRNA from 1 species